UAAUACAGAGGGGGCAAGCGUUAUUCGGAAUUAUUGGGCGUAAAGGGCGCGUAGGCGGCCUGGCAAGUGGAAGGUGAAAUCCCUCGGCUUAACCGAGGAACUGCCUCCCAAACUGCUUGGCUUGAGACCAGGAGAGGUGAGUGGAAUUCCCAGUGUAGCGGUGAAAUGCGUAGAUAUUGGGAGGAACACCAGUGGCGAAGGCGGCUCACUGGA
rnacentral:rRNA from 1 species